rnacentral:rRNA from 1 species
UCCCGUUGAUCCUGCGGGAGAUCGCUGCUAUUGGGAUUCGAUCAAACCAUGCAAGUCAAAGGGUCUCGUAAGAGACACUGGCGUCAGGCUCAGUAACACGUCGAUAAUCUACCUUACAGUUCUGGAUAACCUUGGGAAACUGAGGCUAAACCAUGAUAUGAGAUUGAGGCUGGAAUGCACUUUCUCUGAAACGAAAGGCUGUAAGAUGAGUCGGUGGCUGAUUAGGUAGUUGGUGAGGUAAAGGCUCACCAAGCCAAAGAUCAGUAGGGGGGAUGAGAGUCCACGCCUCGAGAAGGGCACUGAUACAAGGGCCCUAGUCCUAAGGGAUGCAGCAGGUGCGAAGUCUUUACAAUGCGCGAAAGCGUGAUAAGGGAAUCCCAAGUGCUUACCUUUUGGUAAGCUUUUGCUAAGUGUAAAUAGCUUAGCGAAUAAGUGGUGGGCAAGACCGGUGCCAGCCGCCGCGGUAACCCCGGCGCCACAAGUGGCGAUCACAUUUAUUGGGUCUAAAGCAUCCGUAGCCGACUUAAUAAGUUUUUUGUGAAAUUGUUAAACUUAACUUAACAGUGCGCAAAAAAUACUAUUUAGUUAGAGACCGGGAGGGGUGAGGGGUAUUCCUUGGGAAGCGGUAAAAUGCGAUAAUCCUUGGAAGACCACCUGUGGCGAAGGCGCCUCACUAGAACGGGUCUGACGGUGAGGGAUGAAAGCUAGGGGAGCGAACCGGAUUAGAUACCCGAGUAGUCCUAGCUGUAAACGCUGUGAACUGUGUGUUGCAUAUUCUACGUGAAUAUGCAGUGCCGUAGCGAAGGCGUUAAGUUCACCACCUGGGAAGUACGGCCGCAAGACUGAAACUUAAAGGAAUUGGCGGGGGCGCACUACAAGGAGUGGAGUGUGCGGUUCAAUUUAAUUCAACUCAGAGAACCUCACCAGGAGCGCCGGCCGAAUGAAGGUCAGAUUAAAGGUCUUACCUAACAAGCCGAGAGAUGGUGCAUGGCCAUCGUCAGUUCGUGCCGCAAGGUGUCCUGUUAAGUCAGGUAACGAACAAGACCUGUAUCUUCAGUUGCUACCAAGUUAGAAAUAACGAUUGAGCACACUGAAGAGACUGCCUUGGUAACAAGGAGGAAGGUGCAGGCAACGGUAGGUCUGUACGCCUCGAAUCUCCUGGGCCACACGCGCGCAACAAUGAUAGGAACAAUGGGCUGCAACUCCGAAAGGAGAAGCCAAUCCUCUAAAUCCUGUCUCAGUUCAGAUCGAGGGCUGCAACUCGCCCUCGUGACGCCGGAAUUCCUAGUAAUCGGACGUCAUCAUCGUCCGGUGAAUAUGUCCCUGUGCCUUGCACACACCGCCCGUCAAACCAACCGAGCAGGGUUUAGGUGAGACCUAAUCAAGUUGAUUAGCUCGAACCUGAAUUCAGUAAGGUGGGUUAAGUCGUCACAAGGUAACUGUAGGGG